rnacentral:rRNA from 1 species
GAUGAACGCUAGCGGCAGGCUUAAUACAUGCAAGUCGUGGGGCAGCAGUCCCGCAGCAAUGCGGGAGCUGGCGACCGGCAAACGGGUGCGGAACACGUACGCAACCUUCCUUUAACUGGAGAAUAGCCCCUCGAAAGAGGGAUUAAUACUCCGUAACAUAUAGAUGUGGCAUCACAAUUAUAUUAUAGCUCCGGCGGUUAAAGAUGGGCGUGCGCCUGAUUAGAUAGUUGGCGGGGUAACGGCCCACCAAGUCUGCGAUCAGUAACUGGUGUGAGAGCACGACCAGUCACACGGGCACUGAGACACGGGCCCGACUCCUACGGGAGGCAGCAGUAAGGAAUAUUGGUCAAUGGACGCAAGUCUGAACCAGCCAUGCCGCGUGGAGGAUUAAGGCCCUNUGGGUUGUAAACUUCCUUUUAUCUGGGAAGAAUCCAAGUAUUCUUAUUUGGUUGACGGUACCAGAGGAAUAAGCACCGGCUAACUCCGUGCCAGCCGCCGCA